ensembl:lncRNA
GUAAUCAAAACAAGGACGAAACACAGUGGCGCAAAUAAAGCGGCUGUGAAGAGACCUCUGAAGUCCCAGCAAUAGAGAACUCGAAAAUGACAACGCUUCGAGAUUUGGGAAUAUCAGUACGUUUCAUCAUCGUACUCUGCUCAGCCCAGCAUUCAGAACAGCAUUCAGAACAGCCAGAGACUCGGCAGGUGAAAGGCAUCGUGGGAACGUUUUUCUCUUUUCCAGAAAGGGUGUUGACAUCUGGCAAUUUACUUUAUGGAGACCUUGGCAAUAUUGCACAUGUGUACCCUGGUAAACAAAGUAAUACAAACCUUGAGAAGAGAUAUAAAAACCACCUUCACUGGAACAAUGUUACUGGAUUCUUCACUUUGUCAGACCUACAAAUAGACGAUUCUGGGGUUUAUACUGUGGAGAAUGGAGAUGCUGAAGAGAAGAUGAGACAUACAUUUCAGCUGACUGUGUACUAUGUUCUGUCAAAACCUCAGGUGACUGUUCAUGAGAACAUCUCCUGUAGUGUUGUGUGUUCUGUGGAGAACGGGAGAGAGGUGACCCUGUCCUGGUACAAAGGAGGGGAGAUACUCAACCAGACCAGCAGCCCUGACCACAUCACCCUCUCUCUACCUCUCAAGGUGGAUGAACAGAACAGAGACUCUUACAGAUGUGAGGCUGCCAACCCAGUCAGCAAGGGGACAGCUGUUGUUCCACAUUCCUGUAUAGAGAGUGAUCCCUCUAAGGUGACAGGUAAACACAUGUACAGUAUUAAUGUUACAUUGCAGACAUCCAGACAAUACCAACUUCUAUAUGAAACAAUAAGUAUGGUAGAGCUCAUUUUAUGAAAUGCAAUGUUUUAAUUAAAAUAUUGUUUUCUCUCUUUUUAUAUUAGAUGGUGAUGUGAGGACUCUUAUUGCUGUAAUCUGCGUUUUGUUGGCUUCAGGACUUGUUGGACUUGCAAUAUAUCUUACAUUGAGAUGCAUACGCUCACGUGCAGGUAUUUAGCUUUUAAAGGGGUGAGGUCAUUCUCCUUGUCAAAGUCAAAACAUGUUGUGCACAACCUUUAUUAAUGACCAUUGAUAGUGUUUUUAUAAAUGUAGGAAAUGUUUGCCUGAACAACGGAUGCAGGUCAAAUGAAGUGGUGUAUUAAGGGAAUUUUUACCUAUGACUAAUUAUGUAUAUUUCAAUCAGGCCUGAUGAGUCAGAAUACUAUUAUGUUACUGUACAUGUAUGAAUUUUCUUGAUCCCAGUACUGAAUAUAAUGUGAUCAAGAGUUUAGAACAUUGACGGUCUGUUCCUUGGUACAAAUGAAGAACUAUAUCUCCAGACUGACUAGAAUGCUUAUCUACACUGGCUGACCUUGGCUCUAGGCAAGGAGGGAAGGCUUGAACUAUAGAGCCUUUCUACCAGGGUCAAGAAGAGACGGAACAUUUAGAAAAUGCUGACGUCAUUUUCAGUUUACAACCUGUGGUAAAAUGUGUAAGUACUCAGUACUCUCGAGAAUAAACUCUGCUGUUUUGAUUUUGAGACUGGGCUCUGUCUAUUAUUAUAGAAUAAGGGUCUUACAAGUCCUUAUGAAUGGACAGUGUUUAAUUUUAAUUGGAUAUUAAAACAGAGUAAUUUAAUUCCUUUAACAAUUAUCUUCCACACUUCCUCUGCUUGGUCAGACAGUUGCAUUAUCUCAGACCACUUCUCUAAAUGUUGAAAAAAGCAGAAGGCACACACAAGCACAGUCUUACAAUUAUUUCGUAGGUUCUCUGGUGCCAAAACCACUGCUAGUACAGGUACCCAUAGUAACAUGAUUCUUUAGUGUUUUCAGAACCUGUCUUGGGGAUGAGCAUUUGUGCAUAUCUGUUAGUAACUCCCACCCACACUGUGUAUUUAAUUGACUUUAUUUGCUUUUAUGGAUUCACCUGAAAGAAAGCAAGAUGAUGUUCAGUAUGCAGAGAUAACUCACAUUAAACCAGCAGAAAACCAGGUUAGUAAUAAUUCUACAGGCUGAUAAACAUAGGAGAUGUAAUACAGCUGCUUUAUCAGCCCUCAUGUCUACAACUGUUGGCUUUAUCUCUGUGUCAGUGGGUUCAUGUGGUAUUGAGUUGCACAGACCACCUGAGUUUGAUAACCGGCCUGAUGUCAUUGCAACCAGUUUUGCCCAAAUGAAAUGUUUGGGUUGCACAAUGAGACGCCACACUGCAUAUUGUACAUACAGCACCAGUCAAACGUUUGGACACACCUACCCAUUCAACUGGAAUCACAACUGCAGACCACAUGUAACCA